rnacentral:lncRNA from 1 species
ACGCCACUGCCCAGGUCGACUACCACUCCCGGGCACCUCAGGAAGCGAACCAGAGACUGUCCCCUCCGCCAGCAUCCUAGAAGGCCAGGAAAGAGCCGAGCUGAGCGCCUCCUUAAAGCUGCGCAGACUGUCCUCAAUCCCUCCCCACUGGAGCUCCAACUGGUAGUCCCCUGCAUCAGCCUUGCCCAGCUUCUCCUUUCCUCCUCAGCUCAACUCCUGCUUGCCCUUCGGGAGACCCAUCCUGGCCACCCUACAGAGGAGGUGCCCUUACCUGUGCCCGGGUGGGGUGCGGGGUCACAGGCCUGUCAUGUGUGAAUCAAUGUCUUCAGUUGCCCUGAAGUAGAGCGUAUCUUGUUGACCUUGAACUUCGGCAUUGAAGGACCCCUCUCCUGAGCUCUCAGCAUCACCUUUGGAGACGCCUAAUAGAAUGUGAGCAUCAUGUAUUCUUCCUUCUAUGGCUCACAAAGUGUGGCUGCUGCUUGCACACCAAGAACCAUCCUUAGCAUGUAGGAGGCACUGGACAUCACUGAUUAAGGAGUAGCAUAUGUAAGCCUGGCUUAUUCACAGGAGUGACUCAUGCCCUGGGACACAAGGCCUUGUCUAGUGUCACAACCCCUUUAGGCAACUAGAUCCUUGUCUUUGAGUAUAAAUGCUUCAGGAGAAACAGCAAUGAUAACCAGCUGCAGACUUGACAAGAAUAAUGAUGCUGUAUGGAUCGGGGAAGUGGCUCAGUUGGACGGUUCUUGCCGUGCAAGCAGGAGAAGCUGAGUUUGGAUCCCAACACGCAGAGAAAAGCACCACAGCGUACGUGUAUGACCCCUGCACUGGGGCAAGCGGUGAAGCACAGAGAAAGAAGGGUCCCUGGAAUGUGUUGGUCAUGCAGGCAGGCCAAACUGCUAAGCUUCAGGAGCAGUGAGCGUAUUGGUUACUUCUCUGUUGCUGUGACCAAAACACCAUAACUUAAAGAAGGAAGAGUUUAUGUAGGGGCUACAGUCCCAGAGGAGGAGAAAUGGUAUCAGAAGACCAAAACAGGAAGCUAAGAAAUCAUAGCUUCAACUGUAAACACAAAGUAGAAAGCAAAAAUGUACGGAUGAAGCUAUGAACCCUCAAAACUGUCCCCAAUGACAUAUUUCUUCCAACAAGGCUGUUUUACCCCACUAAACAUCACUACAACCAAGUAUUC